rnacentral:sRNA from 1 species
CCCCUCUCAGCUGUCUGUGAGGCUGGGAUUGAGCUCCAUGUGACUCGAGCUGCCUGUGGGGCGUGGCUGGAGGGCCACUGCAUCCCCACCAGGAGUGACCUUGGCCUGCCCCCCACCUCCAGGUAGUUUAUUUCACAGCCACGUUUCCGUACCUGAUGCUUGUCAUUUUGCUGAUCCGAGGUGUCACCCUUCCCGGAGCCUACCAGGGCAUCAUCUAUUACUUGAAGCCAGAUUUGUUCCGCCUCAAGGACCCUCAGGGACUGCAUCGCCCUCUGCUUCCUGAAUAGUGCCACCAGCUUUGUGGCUGGGUUUGUUGUCUUCUCCAUCCUGGGCUUCAUGUCCCAAGAGCAAGGGGUGCCCAUUUCUGAAGUGGCCGAGUCAGGUCCCGGGCUGGCCUUCAUCGCCUUCCCCAAGGCUGUGACUAUGAUGCCCUUAUCCCAGCUGUGGUCCUGCCUGUUCUUUAUCAUGCUCAUAUUCCUAGGGCUGGACAGCCAGUUUGUCUGUGUGGAGUGCCUGGUGACAGCCUCCGUAGACAUGUUCCCUAGGCAGCUCCGGAAGAGCGGGCGGCGCGAGCUCCUCAUCCUCACCAUCGCUGUCACGUGCUACCUGAUAGGGCUCUUCCUGGUCACCGAGGGCGGGAUGUACAUAUUCCAGCUGUUUGACUACUAUGCUUCCAGUGGCAUAUGCCUGCUGUUCCUGUCAGUGUUUGAAGUGGUCUGCAUCAGCUGGGUGUAU